GAUGAACGCUGGCGGCGUGCCUAAUACAUGCAAGUCGAGCGAAGCGGGGACGGGUGAGUAACACGUGGAUAACCUCCUAUAAGACUGGGAUAACUUCGGGAAACCGGAGCUAAACGGGAUACUUGUAGAUGGAUACGCGCUGCAUGAGCUAUUUGGUAAGGUAACGGCUUACAAGGGCAACGAUGCAUAGCCGACCUGAGAGUGGGAUCGGCCACACUGGAACUGGGACACGGUCCAGACUCCUCCGGGAGGCAGCAGUAGGGAAUCGUCCGCAAUUGGCGAAAGCCUGACGGAGCAACGCCGCGUGAGUGAUGAAGGUCUUCGGAUCGUAAAACUCUGUUAUUAGGGAAGCGGUACCUAAUCAGAAAGCCACGGCGAACUACGUGCCAGCAGCCGCGGUAAUUC
rnacentral:rRNA from 1 species